rnacentral:rRNA from 1 species
GACGAACGCUGGCGGCGUGCCUAAUACAUGCAAGUCGAGCGCAGGAAAUCAUCUGAACCCUUCGGGGGGACGUUGAUGGAAUGAGCGGCGGACGGGUGAGUAACACGUAAAGAACCUGCCCUCAGGUCUGGGAUAACCACGAGAAAUCGGGGCUAAUACCGGAUGGGUCAUCGGACCGCAUGGUCCGAGGAUGAAAGGCGCUUCGGCGUCGCCUGGGGAUGGCUUUGCGGUGCAUUAGCUGGUUGGUGGGGUAAUGGCCCACCAAGGCGACGAUGCAUAGCCGACCUGAGAGGGUGAUCGGCCACACUGGGACUGAGACACGGCCCAGACUCCUACGGGAGGCAGCAGUAGGGAAUCUUCCACAAUGGACGAAAGUCUGAUGGAGCAACGCCGCGUGAACGAUGAAGGCCUUCGGGUCGUAAAGUUCUGUUGUAAGGGAAGAACAAGUGCCGCAGGCAAUGGCGGCACCUUGACGGUACCUUACGAGAAAGCCACGGCUAACUACGUGCCAGCCGCCGCAGUAA